rnacentral:tRNA from 1 species
GAUCGGAUAAACUAAAUUUAAGUUAUUAGGUUCAUGCCCUAACAAUAGAAUUGUAUUCUUCCUUUCA